CCUACGGGAGGCAGCAGUGAGGAAUAUUGGUCAAUGGCCGUAAGGCUGAACCAGCCAAGUCGCGUGAAGGAAGAAGGAUCUAUGGUUUGUAAACUUCUUUUAUAGGGGAAUAAAGGUAUCCACGUGUGGAUAGUUGCAUGUACCCUAUGAAUAAGCAUCGGCUAACUCCGUGCCAGCAGCCGCGGUAAUACGGAGGAUGCGAGCGUUAUCCGGAUUUAUUGGGUUUAAAGGGUGCGUAGGCUGUUUUUUAAGUCAGCGGUGAAAUUUUGUGGCCUAACCGUAACAUUGCAAUUGAUACUGGCGGCCUAGAGUACAGUCGAGGUAGGCGGAAUAAGUUGAGUAGCGGUGAAAUGCUUAGAUAUCACGAAGAACACCGAUAGCGAAGGCAGCUUACCAAACUGCCUCUGACAUUGAUGCACGAAAGUGUGGGUAUCAAACAGGAUUAGAUACCCGAGUAGUC
rnacentral:rRNA from 1 species